rfam:Pichia membranifaciens DNA, contig: CON058, strain: KS47-1.
GGGUUAAUGGUCUAGUGGUAUGAUUCCUGCUUUGGGAGCAGGAGGCCCAGGGUUCAAUUCCCUGUUGACCCC